rnacentral:rRNA from 1 species
AACUUCCGUUAAUUGAUUAUGACGUACUUGUACUGAUUGAGAUUUUAACACGAAGUGAGUGGCGAACGGGUGAGUAACACGUGGGUAACCUGCCCAGAAGUAGGGGAUAACACCUGGAAACAGAUGCUAAUACCGUAUAACAGAGAAAACCGCAUGGUUUUCUUUUAAAAGAUGGCUCUGCUAUCACUUCUGGAUGGACCCGCGGCGUAUUAGCUAGUUGGUGAGGUAAAGGCUCACCAAGGCAGUGAUACGUAGCCGACCUGAGAGGGUAAUCGGCCACAUUGGGACUGAGACACGGCCCAGACUCCUACGGGAGGCAGCAGUAGGGAAUCUUCCACAAUGGACGCAAGUCUGAUGGAGCAACGCCGCGUGAGUGAAGAAGGGUUUCGGCUCGUAAAGCUCUGUUGUUAAAGAAGAACGUGGGUAAGAGUAACUGUUUACCCAGUGACGGUAUUUAACCAGAAAGCCACGGCUAACUACGUGCCAGCAGCCGCGGUAAUACGUAGGUGGCAAGCGUUAUCCGGAUUUAUUGGGCGUAAAGCGAGCGCAGGCGGUCUUUUAAGUCUAAUGUGAAAGCCUUCGGCUCAACCGAAGAAGUGCAUUGGAAACUGGGAGACUUGAGUGCAGAAGAGGACAGUGGAACUCCAUGUGUAGCGGUGAAAUGCGUAGAUAUAUGGAAGAACACCAGUGGCGAAGGCGGCUGUCUGGUCUGCAACUGACGCUGAGGCUCGAAAGCAUGGGUAGCGAACAGGAUUAGAUACCCUGGUAGUCCAUGCCGUAAACGAUGAUUACUAAGUGUUGGAGGGUUUCCGCCCUUCAGUGCUGCAGCUAACGCAUUAAGUAAUCCGCCUGGGGAGUACGACCGCAAGGUUGAAACUCAAAAGAAUUGACGGGGGCCCGCACAAGCGGUGGAGCAUGUGGUUUAAUUCGAAGCUACGCGAAGAACCUUACCAGGUCUUGACAUCUUCUGACAGUCUAAGAGAUUAGAGGUUCCCUUCGGGGACAGAAUGACAGGUGGUGCAUGGUUGUCGUCAGCUCGUGUCGUGAGAUGUUGGGUUAAGUCCCGCAACGAGCGCAACCCUUAUUACUAGUUGCCAGCAUUAAGUUGGGCACUCUAGUGAGACUGCCGGUGACAAACCGGAGGAAGGUGGGGACGACGUCAAAUCAUCAUGCCCCUUAUGACCUGGGCUACACACGUGCUACAAUGGAUGGUACAACGAGUCGCGAGACCGCGAGGUUAAGCUAAUCUCUUAAAACCAUUCUCAGUUCGGACUGUAGGCUGCAACUCGCCUACACGAAGUCGGAAUCGCUAGUAAUCGCGGAUCAGCAUGCCGCGGUGAAUACGUUCCCGGGCCUUGUACACACCGCCCGUCACACCAUGAGAGUU